ensembl:antisense Gm16226 predicted gene 16226
AGUGCAAGGGCAGUCAGACUGCCUCAGACACAACACCCAGAAAUCUUCUAAAGCAGCUGUUGAUGUGUCGGCACGAGGCAACUCACGGAGGCAUACCAAGUACCUAUGACAAGUAAGACCGGAGGAGAGGACCAGACAGCAUGGAUGAGAUGGGAAACCAUGAAAGACCCACACAGCUAUGUUGUGGAUUCUUAGGAACUCCCUGUACUGGAGGAGGCGGCGAAAGGGCAGCUCAAAAGGAAAACAAGAGCAGCUUGGUAACCCCUGAGAAGCCUCUGUGCAUGUGGUCUUGUGUACACAAACAGACAUGAAGCCUGAGAGCAAAGCUGAGAAAUACAAUCACUGUGGUUUCUG